AGCAGAGUGGCAGAAUGGUUAGAGCAUGGGAUAAAAUGCUUUAUGCUAUUUCUUCUGGUCCUCUGCAUUCUGAUUUCAAAUCCUGUUGGGGUCAACUUUGCCUUUCA